AAGCGGCAACAGCUCAAAUUUGAAAUCUGGCCUCGGCCCGAGUUGUAAUUUGCAGAGGAAGCUUUAGGCGCGGCACCUUCUGAGUCCCCUGGAACGGGGCGCCAUAGAGGGUGAGAGCCCCGUAUAGUUGGAUGCCUAGCCUGUGUAAAGCUCCUUCGACGAGUCGAGUAGUUUGGGAAUGCUGCUCAAAAUGGGAGGUAAAUUUCUUCUAAAGCUAAAUACCGGCCAGAGACCGAUAGCGCACAAGUAGAGUGAUCGAAAGAUGAAAAGCACUUUGAAAAGAGGGUUAAAUAGCACGUGAAAUUGUUGAAAGGGAAGCGCUUGUGACCAGACUUGCGCCGGGCGGAUCAUCCGGUGUUCUCACCGGUGCACUCCGCCCGGCUCAGGCCAGCAUCGGUUCUCGCGGGGGGAUAAAGGUCUCGGGAACGUAGCUCCUCCGGGAGUGUUAUAGCCCGGGGCGUAAUGCCCUCGCGGGGACCGAGGUUCG
rnacentral:rRNA from 1 species